rnacentral:rRNA from 1 species
UGCUUGAGAGUGGCGAACGGGUGAGUAAUAUAUCGGAACGUGCCCAAUCGUGGGGGAUAACGUAGAGAAAUUUACGCUAAUACCGCAUACGAUCUAAGGAUGAAAGCGGGGGACUCGCAAGAGCCUCGCGCGAUUGGAGCGGCUGAUAUCAGAUUAGGUUGUUGGUGAGGUAAAAGCUCACCAAGCCGACGAUCUGUAGCUGGUUUGAGAGAACGACCAGCCACACUGGGACUGAGACACGGCCCAGACUCCUACGGGAGGCAGCAGUGGGGAAUUUUGGACAAUGGGCGAAAGCCUGAUCCAGCAAUGCCGCGUGCAGGAAGAAGGCCUUCGGGUUGUAAACUGCUUUUGUACGGAACGAAACGGUCUGCUUUAAUACAGCGGGCUAAUGACGGUACCGUAAGAACAAGCACCGGCUAACUACGUGCCAGCAGCCGCGGUAAUACGUAGGGUGCGAGCGUUAAUCGGAAUUACUGGGCGUAAAGCGUGCGCAGGCGGUUAUAUAAGGCAGUUGUGAAAUCCCCGGGCUCAACCUGGGAAUUGCAUCUGUGACUGUAUAGCUAGAGUACGGUAGAGGGGGAUGGAAUUCCGCGUGUAGCAGUGAAAUGCGUAGAUAUGCGGAGGAACACCGAUGGCGAAGGCAAUCCCCUGGACCUGUACUGACGCUCAUGCACGAAAGCGUG